GUAAGAUAGAUUAGUGCUUUCAAUUAUUUCAAACGAAAGCUCUAUUCUCUCUUACAG
rnacentral:pre_miRNA from 1 species